GGCACAGCAUUAAAUCAAGCAGAUCUGAAAACCAAAGCUGAUGAUCCAGCAGUGUUGCGAGGAUGGCUUUAUGGGCAGCCCAGGGCCUGCAGGGAAAUGGCUGCCAUGAGGAAGAAAUCUAGGGAAGCUGAGUGCUGCUGGAAUCUGAGUGGUGACUCUGAACCCCUAAGCUUUAUCCAGGGAUUUCUCAGCAUCGCCUGCCUGGUUUACUAAGGGAGAGGGUGGUGACGAGGCAGUAGCCGUGAGGCAAGGCAAGCAUUGGGGAUGUUGUGAGCAGGACAUGGGAGAGCAGCGAUGCCAGACUGAGCGCGCUAAGCAGAUGAGUGUCGUGGGGAAAGGUAUGUGAUGGUGUAAUAGCUGUCCAUGUCAUGGAAGGCUGGAUGGCUACAAGCAAUGAAAUUUGAAAUCAAUCCCAAAUCCUGCCGAGUCCAGGAGACCUUCACACCCAUGAAGGCACCACUGCUGAGUCAGGCCAAUGGCUGCGUGCACACCCAAGAAAUACACACGUGCUGAUAGAAAACAGAUUUAAAAGGUAACU